AGCAAACAAGAACACACACCAACCGAGAACUCCUCAAAGGAGAUAUUCCCAAGAGAGGCAAGACAAGUUUCCCAUGUCAGACAAAAAAUUCCAAAGAAAGGUGCUUCUGCUGCUCGUGGAAAUCAAGGAAGAAUUAAGGAGAAUUGGAC